AAGGCUAUACUUUCAGGGAUAAUUUCUAUAGUUUGUUACUAGAGAAGUUUCUCUGAAUGUGUAGAGCACAAGAAACCAUGAGGAGGGGGAGAAGAUGCAGGAUUCUCUCCUAAAUGUGAAGCCAGCUCUUGGUGUUGCUUCAACUGCCAUUUGCUAUUAAUGAUAGUUCUUCUUUCCACUGGGAGAAUGGAAAGGAGAGGAUGCAGUCUUUGUGGU
ensembl:snoRNA U3 Small nucleolar RNA U3